rnacentral:rRNA from 1 species
CGUAGGUGGCAAGCGUUGUCCGGAUUUAUUGGGUUUAAAGGGUGCGUAGGCGGUCUUAUAAGUCAGUGCUGAAAUAUCCCGGCUUAACCGGGAGGGUGGCAUUGAUACUGUAGGACUUGAGUAAGUUGAGGUUGGCGGAAUUGACGGUGUAGCGGUGAAAUGCUUAGAUAUCGUCAAGAACACCGAUAGUGUAGACAGCUAACUAAGCUUUAACUGACGCUGAGGCACGAAAGUGUGGGGAUCAAACAGGAUUAGAUACCCUGGUAGUCCACACUGUAAACGUUGAAGACUCGCUGUUGGCGAUACACAGUCAGCGGCUGAGAGAAAUCGUUAAGUCUUCCACCUGGGGAGUACGCCGGCAACGGUG